AUUGAACGCUGGCGGCAGGCCUAACACAUGCAAGUCGAACGGUAACAGGAUACAGCUUGCUGUUUCGCUGACGGGUGGCGGACGUGUGAGUAAUGUGUGGGAAACUGCCUGAUGGAGGGGGACAACUACUGGAAACGGUAGCUACUACCGCAUACCGUCGCAAGACCAAAGAGGGGGACCCUCGGGCCUCUUGCCAUCGUAUGUUCACAGAUGGGAUUAGUUUGUUUGUGGGGUAACGGCUCACCAAGGCGACGAUGCGUAGCUGGUCUGAGAGAAUGAGCGCCCGCACGAGAACGGAGACACGGACCAUACUCCUACGCGAGGCAGCAGUGGCAGACAUUAGACAGCAGGAGCAAGCCUGACACAGCCAGGCCGAGCCUGUGGAAAAGGCGCUCAGGUCGGGAAGUACUUCCAGCGGGGAUGAAGAGAGUAAAGUUAAUACCUAUACUCAUUGACGUUACUCGAAAAAGAAGCACCGGCUAACUACGUG
rnacentral:rRNA from 1 species